rnacentral:misc_RNA from 1 species
GAAGCUGCUUUUCUAUUUCCCUCCAAAUUCUGAUACUGAAUUAAACAGGUACUUUUCUUUGGAUAUUAACAACACAAUAUAAACUGUCUCUUACACUUCGUUUGGGAGGAGUGUAAGGAAGUAAGGUAAGGUUUUUUUACAGUAAUGUAAGAUAAAGUAAUGAAAUAUAAGAUAAGGUUUUUUUAAUAUUAUGUUUUUUUUGGGAGGAAAGUAAGGUAAAUGAUAGUUUACUAAUGUUAUGUUGUUUGGAUCAAAGGUUUGAGAAAGUAAGGAACGGUAAUAACUAAUAUUAAUUUAUAAAAACUUUCCAAAC